AAAAAAAUGGAAACUUACAGUGCAACAUAAUUUCAAACUUGCACAAAGUGGAAAAGAUGAAGAAAGAUAACAAAAACGGAAGGGAAAUUCAAAGGAAAUUCAGCAGCAAGGAUUUAUUAUUUAGAAAAAAGAGGAAAACUGAAAAUUUAGAGUGGGAGAGAAAAAAGAAAAUGUCGGAAAUGUGGAAAAGAGUUUGAAAUUUGAAAAAAAAACUAAACAAAAAGAUAAUGCCUAAAAAUCUGGCAGCUCAUCUCCUUAAUUCUCUCCCUAACAUCCCACAACAACUCCAAUACUCGAAAUUUCAAUUUGACUAGGAC
rnacentral:lncRNA from 1 species